rnacentral:rRNA from 1 species
AGUGAACGCUGGCGGCAGGCCUAACACAUGCAAGUCGAACGGCAGCACAGUAAGUGCUUGCUCUUACGGGUGGCGAGUGGCGGACGGGUGAGGUAUACAUCGGAAUCUACUUUUUCGUGGGGGCUAACGUAGGGAAACUUACGCUAAUACCGCAUACGACCUACGGGUGGAAGCCGGGGAUCUUCGGACCUUGCGCGAUUGAAUGAGCCGAUGUCGGAUUAGCUAGUUGGCGGGGUAAAGGCCUACCAAGGCGACGAUCCGUAGCUGGUCUGAGAGGAUGAUCAGCCACACUGGGACUGAGACACGGCCCAGACUCCUACGGGAGGCAGCAGUGGGGAAUAUUGGACAAUGGGCGAAAGCCUGAUCCAGCAAUACCGCGUGGGUGAAGAAGGCCUUCGGGUUGUAAAGCACUUUUGUCCGGAAAGAAAUGCAGCGGGUCAAUACGGCCGGGGCAUGACGGUACCGGAAGAAUAAGCACCGGCUAACUUCGUG